rnacentral:rRNA from 1 species
UACGGAGGGAGCUAGCGUUGUUCGGAUAUACUGGGCGUAAAGCGCACGUAGGCGGCGCAGCAAGUCAGGGGUGAAAUCCCGGAGCUCAACUCCGGAAUUGCCUUUAAGACUGCAUCGCUAGAAUUGUGGAGAGGUAAGUGGAAUUCCGAGUGUAGAGGUGAAAUUCGUAGAUAUUCGGAAGAACACCAGUGGCGAAGGCGACUUACUGGACACAUAUUGACGCUGAGGUGCGAAAGCGUGGGGAGCAAACAGGGAUUAAGAAACCUU